AGACCAAAAAAGAGGUAUUGAACCGCGGUUCUGUACAACAGAAGUUGCUCCAAAAGGGGAUCCUUCAGGUACAUCUUCGAAUACAAUUUGUUCCGUCUCAACAUCAUUUGCUACACGGCCCUUCUCAUUUACUCCUCUUUUUAAAUAUCUGGUACCAGCAUAAUGGCGAGACCGUCUAGCAAUAAGGGUUAAGAUGAAGUCUUGCGAAGAAAUUUUAAAUGUAGCCUGCUUAAAAAACCCAUAGACUAAUGCGACAGUCCAUUUAGUAUUUUGGAGUUG
rnacentral:misc_RNA from 1 species